rnacentral:rRNA from 1 species
CCUACGGGUGGCAGCAGUGAGGAAUAUUGGUCAAUGGGCUUACGCCUGAACCAGCCAAGUCGCGUGAGGGAAGACUGCCCUAUGGGUUGUAAACCUCUUUUGUCAGGGAGCAACGCCUGCUACGUGUAGCCUGCCUGAGAGUACCUGCAGACAAAGCAUCGGCUAACUCCGUGCCAGCAGCCGCGGUAAUAAGGAGGAUGCGAGCGUUAUCCGGAUUUAUUGGGUUUAAAGGAUGCGUAGGCGGAAUGCCAAGUCAGCGGUAAAAUCGCGGGGCUCAACCUCGCUCCGCCGUUGAAACUGGCGUUCUGGAGUGGGCGAGAAGUAUGCGGAAUGCGUGGUGUAGCGGUGAAAUGCAUAGAUAUCACGCAGAACUUCGAUUGCGAAGGCAGCAUACCGGCGCACAACUGACGCUGAAGCACGAAAGCGUGGGUAUCGAACAGGAUUAGAUACCCGGGUAGUC